rnacentral:tRNA from 1 species
GCCUCUGUGGCGGAACGGUAGACGCGGCAGACUCAAAAUCUGCUAUUCGCAAGGGUGUGGGGGUUCGAGUCCCUCCAGAGGCACCA